rnacentral:lncRNA from 1 species
GGGUCGGAGGGUCGAACGGACGGACGGACGGACGGACGGAUGGCCGUUCUGCGGUUCAGUCUUGGCUCGGAUGGAUGGUACUGGCCGGCUUAUCUCUUGCUUGUGUUCGAACCUGAAACAGAUAGGAACCUUUAGUGAGUUUUCAACAGGAACAAGAACAGAAACUAGAUAUGAUUCUUUUGGUUUUUUUGGAAUUGGUUGAAUGAAAUCUAAAACAAAAGAUAGAGAAAGGAGUAGAUUGGCGGAUGGGAUCUGCUGCUGGACGUAUGUCUCUCUCAGCAAGAUGCCUAGGUCGGACAGGAAGAUAAGUAUGGAUCCGGCUCUUGCUGGACGUAUGUCUCUCUCAAGAUUCGGACAAGGAAUGGAAUGGAUCGAAGGACGCCACAAAGAACAAUGGAUCGGCUCUUUGAUAUGUCACACGGCUGCUCUCAAUGUUUC